CACAUUCUUCAUCCCAUCCUGAACCUCAAUUUCAGCAACCUAUUGUACAGCCAACUAUAGUUCAUGGACCUAAUGGUGCAAUGUUCCAGAUCGGUGGGAGGAAUAACCAGCAACAAGGAAAAGGGCAAGGAAAAUUAUCCAAGCCAACUUGGAGGAUCUAAAAGUCAAUGUGGACGUGUUUCGUGUUAAUUGGUAGCUUUUUUGAAUUAAAAAACUUUGACCUUGUUAUUUAUUAUAUUUUUGGAAUUCUCUGUAGAGAUUGUUGGAAAGACCAUGAGUUUAUUUUGGCAAAGCAUUUUGGUUUAUAAUG